rnacentral:rRNA from 5 species
UAUACAACUUUCAGCAACGGAUCUCUUGGCUCUCGCAUCGAUGAAGAACGCAGCGAAAUGCGAUAAGUAAUGUGAAUUGCAGAAUUCAGUGAAUCAUCGAAUCUUUGAACGCACCUUGCGCUCCUUGGUAUUCCGAGGAGCAUGCCUGUUUGAGUGUCA